GAAGGAGCACAGGGCAGUGAGAAAGCUCAGGGAGAGGAGAGUUAAGAGAAAGGUAGUUGGGAGUUUCAUCUGUGGGGCUAAGGGUGAGAGAUGCCUCAGAGGCCUGAAAUUUGAAGCCAGAACUAGAGGUCCUGAGCCCAAAGGAAACCCAGGAGGCUAGGGCAGUGAAGCCUGGGGCAAGAGGUGUGUUAUCCCUAAGCUAAGAGAAAGAUGGAGGCAGUGAAGCCCGACAAGCAGUGAUCGUAAAGCCUCAGGGCCAUUUUGGAGUGAAGUUUGUGGGACUGCAUAGAGGAGCUGCACAAAAGAAGAGGCUCCUGUGACAGCCUCGGAGGAGGGGAGACUCCAGGGAUGAAUCCUUGGGAAGCAGUCCUCUGAAAUAAAUCAAGAAGGAACUUUUCAGGUAUUAGGCUGAACCCUCAGCGAGAAGCCCUGAGGUAAGCAGCCCAGGAAACUGAGGAUGUCAGGGAAAGUCCUGGGUACAGAAAGUUAAAAGGAUAAGAAUACAGGAGAUGGUAAUUCUCAUUGCAGCAGGCUUGAAAGAAGGCUCAGUAUGGAGCUGAGACACAGGAAGAACCAAGAUGGAGGGAGACAAAGGGUUUUUGCUGAGCCUGAGACAAGGUUUGAUAAAGUACUGGGAGUUGAGUGGGACUAAAAGUACUGAAGCGGAGAUUUCUUUGAAUGGUCUACAUUGCAGAUCCUGGGUGAGGACGUGUGGGUCUUAGUAACCCCCAAGAAGAGGGCCUGAGACUGGAACAUGGAUAUUGUUUUCUGUGAAUUUGAGACUGGAGUACCCCGAAAGGGAUGUGGAACUAAAACUGGCCUCGGGGAUGAGUAAUGUGGGACCAGAGUGCCCGUGGCCUGCGAAUGUGAGAGGAGGAAAGCCUGCUUUGCCACCCCUGGACAUGAGGGGGCACAGCUGCGCAAUGCGGGCAGCAGUACUGAAGACAGGGCUGAGCACAUGACAAAAGGUGAUCAUCAUUGGUAGAGAGCAGCAGUGACUUCCAGAGAUGCUGAGCUUUUCCUAGAGACUUCUUGAAAAGUCUUGGUAAGACUGGUUCUCCUCUCAGCAAAGCUCCAGCAUAAGGGAAGAAUUCCCAACAGCAGUCAUGAGAUCCAAAUGUGCCCAUGUCUGGUAAAUAGAAUUGUAGUCACUUUGAAACUGGUGUCACCCACCUUGCCUUCUGUGCAAGCAAAUGUGAGGACCUGUCUUCACUACCAGGCCAUAUGGAUUUGCCAGCUCACUGCAUCAUUACAUGUUUGUACUACAGCAUAUCUUCAGCAGCUGUCCAUAUAUCAUAAUGCUACAGUAUCUCUCAUGUGCUGAUUACCAAGCCACAAUAGAUUGAUAUCAUGUCCAAAAGAGCCCUGAUAUCCAGUCGGACUCCAACUGUAAACUUUUGAAGAGGAAAAGAGAGCGCUAGAAACACUCCUAAACAUGUCUGUCGUUUCAGCCAUAGUAGUGUCAUAUUGCUGUUAAUUCUCAGCCAGUGUUUGGCAUUUAAUAAGGCACAAUGUAUAUUUUAUUGCCAAAUGUAACUAUGCUCUUUUUUCUUUGCUAACCUGUGAGUCACCAAUUAACUGCAUGAGUUUAAUUUGGGAAUCUGAUGUCCUAAGAGGUUAUUAUUUGGCAAUGAAGACAGGAAAU